rnacentral:tmRNA from 1 species
GGGGCUGUAACGGUUUCGACUGUGAAAAGAAGGGAAGGCAAAAGCAUACCGGAGCGCACGUCUUCGUCAAAAACGGGCAAAUUAAAUUUAAAUGCUGAUAACAGACAGUUAGCAGUUGCCGCUUAAUUAUAGCGGUUGUCCGUGCGCAUAGUCCUGUCGGAUGCGUUUCGGGCAUGAUUUGAGACAGGGAACGACCUUUGCUUAUUGAAAACGGGGCUUGGGCUGAUCCAUCGUUUUCAGCGCCGACGGCAUAACGCGUCUUACCGUUACCGUUCGGAAGAGGAUCAAGAUAAGACUAAGUAUGUAGAAGGCUUUUCGGUCUGUUCGCAACACGAGGGUUCAACUCCCUCCAGUUCCACCA